GUCCACGCCGUAAACGAUGAGCACUAGGUGUUGCGGGUAUUGACCCCUGCAGUGCCGACGCUAACGCAUUAAGUGCUCCGCCUGGGGAGUACGGCCGCAAGGCUAAAACUCAAAGGAAUUGACGGGGGCCCGCACAAGCGGUGGAGUAUGUGGUUUAAUUCGACGCAACGCGAAGAACCUUACCCGGACUUGACAUCGAGGAAAUCCCCUGGAAACAGGGGAGUACUUCGCAAGAAGAUCCGAAGACAGGUGCUGCAUGGCUGUCGU
rnacentral:rRNA from 1 species